CAGCCUGAUGCAGCCAUGCCGCGUGUAUGAAGAAGGCCUUCGGGUUGUAAAGUACUUUCAGCGGGGAGGAAGGUGUUGAGGUUAAUAACCUCAGCAAUUGACGUUACCCGCAGAAGAAGCACCGGCUAACUCCGUGCCAGCAGCCGCGGUAAUGA
rnacentral:rRNA from 1 species